rnacentral:lncRNA from 1 species
AGUCUAGUAUUUAUAUAAAAAAAUUUACUUCAAUCCAAUUAAUAGAUUACUGAAGUUCUUAGAAACACUUAAUGACCUUCAAAUUCCAAUUUUUGAAACCUCAAUCUACAAAAAUCCUCACAUAAUUUUAAUUUAAUCAUUUGAUUGACCUCAAAAUAAGAAUAUAAACUUACAACUAAGACAACAACAUAUUGCCCAAAUUUCAUUAGUACAAAUACUACAAAAUUUAAGAAAUCUUCAAAUUUGUAAACAUAUUUUUA